rnacentral:lncRNA from 10 species
UGAGAAGGGACACUGAAUGCUAGUCUGGCAAGCCAAAAUAUGAAAGCAAUCUAGAUCCUUGAUGGGUCCCAGCAAACACUGCACACCUCUGAACUGGGCAUCUUGAGACAAUGUUCUGCCUACACAAAAUUCUAAACUGAGAGGAGUGGCUCAGAAGCUCUACUAACAUGGAAUCACAUGUGGGUUGCAGGAGGCUGGAGACUAUCCCAGCAGCACAUGGCACAAAGCAAGAACCAGCCCCGGACAGGACGCCAUUCCAUCACAGGUGCACUCACACCCACCAGCACUCACUCAGACUGGGCCCAUUUAGACACACCGAUUCAUCCAACAUGCAUAUCUCUGGGGUGUGGAAGGAAACUGGAUUACCUGGUGAAAACC